CCUACGGGGGGCAGCAGUGGGGGAUAUUGCACAAUGGGGGGAACCCUGAUGCAGCGACGCCGCGUGGGUGAAGAAGCGCCUCGGCGCGUAAAGCCCUGUCAGCAGGGAAGAAAAUGACGGUACCUGAAGAAGAAGCUCCGGCUAACUACGUGCCAGCAGCCGCGGUAAUACGUAGGGAGCAAGCGUUAUCCGGAUUUAUUGGGUGUAAAGGGUGCGUAGACGGAGAAGCAAGUUAGUUGUGAAAUCCCUCGGCUUAACUGAGGAACUGCAACUAAAACUACUUCCCUUGAGUACU
rnacentral:rRNA from 1 species